ensembl:lincRNA
UGUAGGAGCUGGAGUCCAAAUGCUGAACAAUCGAGUAAAGGAAGGCUUUGGGUAGGAAAAGAAUCUUGAUGCCUUAGCUCUUUUUCAAAAUGAAAAACAAAGGUAUAUGAGCUCUGUUGGUUUAUUCUUUCUGUUGCAUACAUCUUCUCAGCAGAUGGCAUGGAAAAGACCUGUCACAGCGGACACUGUGAAGGCCCAUCCUAGUACAAUCCGCAGAGUCUCAGGUGUCCAGACACCUGCGGGCAGAGCAGCAGCCGGGCAGUGGCCUGGGAGGCCCGGACACUGCUUCCUCUAUAACCUCAGGGCUGCGUCAGCUCAAGACUUUGGACAAACUCUCCUGUCCCACGGGCCGCUCCGCCCCCGCCAGCUGGAGAAGCAGGACCAUUUACGCUCACACCUGUCUGAGUUUCCUGGAUUUUCUUUAUUGAAGACCCUGGUUUGAGAAGUCCACACCUCGGUUAUUGCAUCCCCGGUUGUGCACUGGUAGGAAGCAUGAAGACUGAUAUGAAAGGGCCCGCUGUGUUCCUCACGUCACCGAGUGAUCCCUUCACGGCUCAUGUUCUGAGGCUGAAGAUGCCACGUGGCGUUUUUCCCCCGCAACCUGUGUGACAUCCGGACAGAGGAGUGGAGCCAGAGGCUGACACUGAAAGAUUCGAAUAAGUAGGAAGCUGUGUGGUUCUCAAGAGGGUUUUAUAAGACGUUGCCAAUUUUCUCUUUGGAAGAUGCGGGGAAGAUUAUAGAGAUAGGAAAUCCAGCUGAGCUUUAAUUCCAAUAAUGAAAUCAAGCACUAACCUGGGUAAGGAAAUUCCUUUUCUAUAAAUUGGAACUGUCAAAUUCCCCACAAAUUCAAAUUGAGGAUACACACAGGAAAUCUGGUUGUUAAAUUCCUCUAGAAAUUCUUGAAAUUUCUAACAACAUAUUUUAUCUGUAAGGAAUUUUUUGUUUGUUUGUGUGGUUCAUUGUUGUUUGAGAAAGAGGGUUUUUGUGCUCCUACUUCCUCAGACUACUGAGUGCUGGGGUUGCAGGCAUUCACCAC